AAGGAAUAUUGGUCAAUGGGCGCAAGCCUGAACCAGCCAUGCCGCGUGCAGGAAGACGGCCCUAUGGGUUGUAAACUGCUUUUGUCAGGGAAUAAACCCCCGUACGUGUACGGGGCUGAAGGUACCUGAAGAAUAAGCACCGGCUAACUACGUGCCAGCAGCCGCGGUAAUACGUAGGGUGCAAGCGUUAAUCGGAAUUACUGGGCGUAAAGCGUGCGCAGGCGGUUUUGUAAGACAGUGGUGAAAUCCCCGGGCUCAACCUGGGAACUGCCAUUGUGACUGCAAGGCUGGAGUGCGGCAGAGGGGGAUGGAAUUCCGCGUGUAGCAGUGAAAUGCGUAGAUAUGCGGAGGAACACCGAUGGCGAAGGCAAUCCCCUGGGCCUGCACUGACGCUCAUGCACGAAAGCGUGGGGAGCAAACA
rnacentral:rRNA from 1 species